rnacentral:rRNA from 2 species
ACUCCUACGGGAGGCAGCAGUGGGGAAUAUUGCACAAUGGGCGAAAGCCUGAUGCAGCAACGCCGCGUGAGUGAUGAAGGUCUUCGGAUUGUAAAGCUCUGUCUUUUGGGACGAUAAUGACGGUACCAAAGGAGGAAGCCACGGCUAACUACGUGCCAGCAGCCGCGGUAAU